UACGAAGGGGGCUAGCGUUGUUCGGAAUUACUGGGCGUAAAGCGCACGUAGGCGGAUUUGUAAGUCAGGGGUGAAAUCCCGGGGCUCAACCUCGGAACUGCCUUUGAUACUGCAAGUCUUGAGUCCGGAAGAGGUGAGUGGAAUUCCUAGUGUAGAGGUGAAAUUCGUAGAUAUUAGGAAGAACACCAGUGGCGAAGGCGGCUCACUGGUCCGGUACUGACGCUAAGGUGCGAAAGCGUGGGGAGCAAACAGG
rnacentral:rRNA from 1 species